GAAGCCAAAAACUAAGAGGUCUUUUCACAGAAGGCAGUAGACAGAACGGCACUGGGCAGAAACCUGAACCAAGAAGGGACCGGGCACCGGGAGACGAGGCCCAGAGAAGGGAAGAUAACACCAGGCCUCCCAGUCCCGGCCCUGGAGUCUCUCGCUAGCUGGUCUGGGUGCUCGAGGCUGGCAGGCCCAGGUGGGUGGCCCCGGGCACGCGGUGAGGACCCUGACAUCACAGGGAGAAGACCCAGGCUGAGAACACUGAGGUGUGCAGGGCCCCCUCGAGUCCCUGGAGGAUUCAGAUCUAAACAUGGAGAGAAGAUAUACCAAGUCCAUGGACACCUGUAGCAGGGCCCUGUGCGGCAGGGGCUGCUCAGCACGUACACGACAGUUUUAGGCACGAAAAGUCAGCCGUGGGGACGGAUGUGACUCAGCGUUGUUGCUCCGUGUCACGGGCACCAGAGCUGGUGACAAAUACCACCGAGGGCCUUACACAUCCAAUUCCGUACCACAGGGCUCACAAAACAAACCUGAGGCUGUGCAGCUGGACAAAACCCCAGGACAGGGCAGGGAUAAAGAAACUGCGCCUGAAGGGGCACGGGCUACAAGGGCCAGGAAAGACUGCUUAGAGCCCAGGCGUAAGCGCCCACCAGCACGUGACCACGUAGCCACGGAGCAAAGAGCAGCCAAGAAAGCAAUGCAAGGAAACAAGGAGAAGGGAAUCAAAGCACGACUUCCUCUUGGCCCGUGAAAAACCCCCGCAAACAGGUUUCCGCCCUAAUCUCUCUCCACUUGAGAGUCUAAUUUUGGAAACCUCGCUGGAUGGGACUGUGGUACUUCGUGUCCUCAAGUGGCAUUUUACUUGGCUCAGGGAGCUGGCGGAGGAGCACACAUGCAGAAGAGAAGCAGGGAGCAUGAGGGUCCUCCGUGUCUCCCUCACCACGUGACUCGUCCGUGAGUGAGCACAGCACACACGGUGGCACAUGGGACGGCAGCGGACACGUGACCAUGCUCGCAGAGAAACAGCACGGCCCAUUCAGAGAUGAUGGGGUCCAACUUAAAAGCAACACUUGGCUGUAAUUCAGUGUGAUGGGCAGGGGGUAUCUCUAACUAGAAUUGUAGCCUUUGGAGCCAAAGGAACCUAACUCCCAACUCUUCUGGCCUAUUCCCCACCUUUACACAUGGGAAAGCAGCCCUGCAGGGCUGAGCAAUGUCCGCGAGAUCAUGUACUUAGCACCCCAGAACCUGGCUCCGUCGCAACUAGACCAGACACAAGCCUGAACUGGGCCUUGUACUCUGUACUCUGGUACUCAGCCAGACCUGUGCCAUUUAACCAGGGCUUCCAGUCACCAAGACCGAGUCCCCCGCAACCCCUAGGAAUUUGCCCUCAUCUGGAUUAAGAAAGAAAGAGAGGGAAGAAAGUCGAGAAAGACAGGGAAACACCAGAAAAAAAGGGGGGAGAAAAAGAAAUGAAAGCAUAUCAUAGUUGUAAUUCCCCACUUUUCAGGUUCAAUUUUCUGAAAUUUCUAGAAAACAGCAAAAGAGUUCAUAGAAUCUUCUCUGGAAGAAGAGACCUGGCUUUUUAUUUCUUUUUCUUGCCUUAUUCUACGGCUCAGAUCUAUGGUACAUUAUUGAAUAGAAAUAGCAAAAGAGGACACCCCUGCCUUGUUUCUGAUCUUACUGGGAAUGUUUUCAAUACUUCACCUAGAGACGGAAAAGUACGCAGUUCUCGCGCCUGGUGAAAGGCGCCGACCCUGCCUGAACGAAGAUGGAAAGGACCAGCCAGCUGCUCGGAGGCCCAGCCGCCAGGAUGGGAGCACAGGGCAGGGUCUGCAGGACAGGCUCGCCCACUGACCCCCACCCCGGGCCCUCCCGCGUCAUGUGAGUCUGUGAGGAGCUCGCGGGGGUGUCCCAGGACGCUCAGGUGAGGCCAGCAUUCCCUGCACCUGACCUGUGGACCUGUGGAAUCCUCCUACUGGUAGCCUGACCCUCUUGUUCAUUGAAAUCAUAAAAGGGGGCUCAGUACACUGAAAUGUCACAGACGGAAAUGAUUCAUCAGGUCAGCAAAAUACAUUCCCCCAGGGCCCUUCCCCUGACACCCCAGGGGGUCUCAAACUCCCCCCAGCACCUGGCCUCCCUCCCCUCUGCUUCCCGCCUCCUUUGCUGAAGGGCCCCCCAUCCCGCUGGCAUCCUCCACCCUCCUUCAGCGCCACAUCCAACAGAGCCCCCGCCUGACUGACACCGCCACCACUCAGGCGCUCCAUACGUUCAGGCGGGCCGGACGGGCACCUCCCCCGUGGGUUCUGCUAAGAGCCUCCAGCAUCUCAAUCCAUUAAAUGUUUCUUUUCCUCAUCAUGCAAAGCUGUGGAAAAAUAGCAAAGUUCUAUAAUAAAGCUUGUGUGUGCCCAUUAAUAUGAAUUAAACUUUAAUGAGCUAAGUGUUAUGAAUUCCUGAGGCACGUCCAAUACAGUUUACGUGUAUUUAUCAGAGAAAAUGAAAAUGGAAGCUAGACCCUUUUUCUCUGGGCGAUACUUUUCCUUCAGGAAAAUCAGGCAGACUUUGCAAAGGUCAAGGCUGAUCUUUGAGGUUUUCUUGUCCUUCCCCUGGAAAACAAAUCUAGCUCCAGCUACCAGUUUAUAGGAAAUACGUGUUUAAAGGAACAGGUUCGAAGGCCACCAGGAGGCUCUGAUCAGUCAGGUGUGGAAGGAUAAAAUCGAAGGGCAAAAGCCCCAGCUCCUCAGGGUGGAUAGGUGAGCUGCUACAGAGUAAACACUGCAGACCGGUCACUCAGUCCCAAGGCUUGCAUCCUGAUUUGAACAAAUGACAGAACCGAGACUUUUUUAAAGACAACAAGCAAAAAUGGAACAUAGCUUGGGUAUAAGAUGAUAGUGGGAAUUAUUAUUCGUUUUGUUGAGUGUGACAAUGGGAUUGUAUCUGUUAGAAACACACACUGAAGUGUUUAUGGGAAAAUGCUGUGGCAUCUGGGGUUUGUUUUAAAUUCUCCAGGGGAUAAAGUUUGGAGCGGGGGGACCUGAUGAAGUGGGAAUGGUCAGAAAGCUCAGGGUUUCUAUGGGCACAGGGGAUCUCACUAUAUGGACUACAGUUCAUCUUUCUUUUUUUUAAUUUUUCAUGAUAAGAGUUUUCGAGAGACGCCAAGACAAGCCCCUCUCUUCCUGUUCCUUAGCAUCCGUCCUCGCUUCACAUCUGCCAGCUCGGUCUAACCAGUUGUCUCAGUAACAUCCCUUACAAUCUCCAGUUUAUUACCAGCCCCUAGCUGUGCAAGCAAGCAAACCCUCCCAGCUCGCGUUCAACUCAACCAAUGGGUCCUGAGCAUCUGAGAUGUGACGAUGAGCAGGACACAGGCCCCAGCUGGUGCCAGGCAGAGCUCAGCCCCGGCGAGGGUGGGCCGGCCCUCACCGAUUUCAGAUACGACCCACAGACCAGAAAGCGCUGGUAGUGAGGAAGGACACACAGCGAGUGUGACCACGGGCCACCAGGAGGGGCCUGGACCACAGCUGCCCGGGGCGGAGCGGGCUCUGUCCGGUCCCCAGGUCCCAGGCCCAGCUCGGAGCUGCACGACGGGAAGGAGCGAGGGCCAGGGAGGGAUAUGCGAGGGAGCGAGUAAAGAAAACAGCUUCGCGGGUGGGCAGCGCUGGAGCCCAGGCCGCGGUGCCCUGGGAGGCCAGACAAAGGCCGGCUCUGUUCUCCCUGGUCCCGGCAGCCUUUCCUGAGGGGAGUUUCUCAGCUGCCUUUCAGAUGGUCCUCCAGGGACGGUCUGCUCCUGCCCCUCCCUCCCUAGUGAGCUGACAGCUCUCAGCUGUCCCCAUCGCGUGGCCCGGCCCAGCUCAACCGUUAAUAAGUGACUUGGAAAAUCAGGAGAAAAUGUCCUUGCCCGCCUUUGAAAACAGAUCCGUCUCUGCCCCGGAGAGGCUGUCCAUCUGCCCUGUGGGGGGGACAUAACUGAGUGAGUCGUUCCAAAGCUGUUGGUAGAGCUCUGGAGACGUAGGAGGGGAAAGAACCUCGGAUGCAAAAGGUGCAGAUUUCUCAGACACUGUGUGACAAAUAAUGGACCACAGAAGUCCCACGGGAGCCCCGCACAAGAGCACACAGCGAACCCGCAUCUCUGCGCUGACGCAAAAUAGCUUUCUGGACAGAGACCCCCGGCUCACGUCAGUAAUGACGAGAAGUAGCAUAGUUACCGGCAAAGACUGAAAACUAGCUCUGAAGCCCGCUUGUCCGUAACCACGCUUCCUCCGGUUGCUCAGACCAGCCCACCCGGCCGUGAAAAUCCACAGGCGACCCCGCCACCACCGUUUUCUGCCGCUGUCCGACCUUCUGAACCAACCCCUCCUAACUGCCCAGCGGUCAGGUGAGCAGAACUCCCAGCUGAGCUCAUCCCCUCAGGACAGAGCGGACCUCUGCCGGGAAGGAGGCCGCGUGGCCCCGGGGGACUCGGGGUCGGACAGGCCUGGCUUCCCCAACACGCGAGGCUUCAUUAGUGAUCGUGUCGUUUCAACCCAGCCUCAGUCUCCUCAUGUGUUAAGUGGAGAGGUCAACUGACACAGGAGUAGAUAAAAUAAUGUAUAUAAAGAAAGAGAUACAAAAUGUGCCCCUCCCACCUCAUCUGCCCCUCUGUGAUGCUAGCUAGCGGGCAGUCCCGCCGGCACAGAGGACACACGUCUCAUCCCACAGCAAGACACCUGAUGGGGCAAAGCAUCUCCUGAAGCUGUGAGUCAGCCACUAAAACCACCGGCUGGAUGACCAGCUCCCCGCACGCUUUCCACGCUGCUGAGCAUUAAAGAUUAGCUGAGAGGUGUUUGUGGUUAAGUGACAGGAAGCCGGAAAAGAGGUACAUGUUAAUAAGCAGCUCACGAGAAAUGAGUCAGUAACUCAAAACAAUAAACCCCAAACGGCCACUUGGAACAAGUCUGCGCAGGCAAGUUCACAGCGUGGCUGGAGAGCGUUUGCGGGGAGCGUGCCCCGGAGGCCCGGGCAACAUGGACACCCGAGCUGCGGCCCUGGCUCACCCUCCCAGCCACGUCGGACUCGAAAGCGCUGCUAGUUCUUUGUCUCGAAAAGGGCUCCUUUGCCCUUUCCCUUUAAUGCAAUGGGAGGGCCCAGAGGGACUGAGAGAGGCUGGACUGACACAGCAGCAGCGCCCCAGGGACACGCGGCCCUUGUGUCCCUCCGGCCGACGUCUGCUGACGGUGUGCGGUGGCCACAGCACCCUGGGUGGAGAGGCUUUCUCCCCAGCUCUCUUUAGGACAAUAUUUAGUAUUGAUAUAAUUCACUGUUUCUAAACCAUUGUUCUGGCCAGCUCCUAAACAACAUCAGUCAAGUUUACCUUCUAACUUAGAAAUAACAGCUAACCAGUAACAGGCACUGAUUAGGGGUCAGGUACCUGUCCAAGCCUUUCAUUCACAUCAGCUCGGUCAGUCCUCACCAGGAAACGAAUGGCAUAAAUACUAUUAUUGUCCACAUUUUAAAGGUGAAGAAAGUCAGCAAGAGAGAUGGUGACGGUUGUCUUGAUCAAGGUCAGGAAGUUCUGCCUCUAAGCGCUAACCCACCAAGCCACCAGGUCCGAAUCACAUCAUUCAGUCAUUCAGCAAAUUUUACUGAACGAGUUACGGAGCGAUUGUCCUCAUUCCAGGGGAUACAGCCUCGAGCGACACUGAGUUCCAGCACCCCAAACUUCCACUAGUGAAGAGGAGGUGACACACGUAAACAGAUCGUGUGGGAUCAUGUGCUGAGCAGGAUGUGAUGGGGGUUGUUCCUUAGAUAGGUCCUUGGGAGGUGGCGACAUCUGAGCAGUGCCUGAAUGGCAGGUGAGAAGGAGCCGUGGAAACUAUCCCAAGGAAGAGCAUCCUAGGCAUGGUGACAGCACGUGCAAAGGCCCUGAGGUGGAACAAGCUUGGUGGGUCCCAGGCAGCAGAGCCGAGUAACCAGGUCUGAGUGAGAGAGACAGGGUCCGGAGGGCCCCAGGCCUGGAGGCAGAGAGUAUUGACCAGGGCCAGGAGGGACCGAAGAGGGGCCAGAAGCAGGAAGAAGAGCUGGGAGGCUGUCUCUGAGGCCUGGAGGAGAACGGUGGCCACGGAGCUGGGGGCAACGGCCUGAUUUGGGAUCUGUUUGGAAGGUGAUCUGUCAGGACUUUCCGGCUGGACGGGAGGCGGGUGGCUGGAAGGCAAGGUCCCUCUCGGAGUGUGAAGGACAGGGAGGGGACUGCGGCGGGCUCACGCGUGCUGGCGGAGAGGCGGGAGAUGAGGAACACAGAUCACUGGCCUUGUUGGCUCUAAGAGACCUACUUUGACGAGCAGACAGGACUUCGAAACCCCCUCUGAUCCUUUCUUUAUGACUUUCUCAGAAAAAAAUAGAAGUUCAGGAUUUGUCAAUGGCUCAAAAUUCAAGUUAACGAAUGUUCUCAUUUGGUUUAUCCCACUCAUUUUGCCAGUUUGUAAGUCUGAAGGCUGCUCUACCCCGUCCUUAACAGCAUCUUGACUUCUGUCCUAAUUUCUGCCAUCCAGACUCUCAGCAUCUUGGGUGGGGCUGCAGCCUUCUGAACUACUAAGCUCUUUAGCUGAGCUGCUAAAGAAAUAAAAAAGGAACUGGAUAUUAGAUGAUACCUACCCCACCCAGAAAUCUUGUGUCAGGAAACAGUUCUUAAAAUACAUACCAGCGGUGAAAGUAUGUUUCAUGGAUCUCGCUGGUGUUAGUUUCUCUCAUGCCUUUACCGAAACGCACAAUCCUACAGAGGCUCUUCAUUUCAGAACUUAACCCUCGUCUGGAGGACGAGACCCGGCCGUGCCCUGAGGCCGAGCAGGUGCCCGCCCGGGCAGCCUGAGCACCGGCCACCAUGAGGACGCUGCACGCUUUCCCACCGGGCCGCACGUACGGCCUCCGCUUACAUGGACCGCCCUGGCUUAGCUCCGUUUCUCUGACCAGCGCACCGUCAGGAGCCCAGUGUGCCCCAGGCCCAGCCUCAGG